AACAAAUAUGUUUGGUUCUGGCUAAAACUUAGCGCUUUCUUUAGAUGAUGCAUUGAUAGAAUAUUGCGCAUAGUGAGGAAUAAACUUUACUGGUCCCCUAAAUGGGGCGGUAGAAAAAUAUGGUUUUAGGUGCUUCUAUAAUGCCUAGGGUAACUCACAACUUCAGUACUAAGAAUUGGGCAAUGUUUGAAAGACCGACCCAGAAAAGAAGGAGAGGGGAUGGUAAUAGGGUGCCAGCAUCAGCGGUUAUACCUUUUCCCCAUGUUAAAUAUAACGGAGGCAUAAAAUUGGUGAAAAGAAAAAUUAUGGGAAAUGGUUCGGCAAUUAACACGUAUUAAAGGGACAAGCUACUCCCAGCUAUUGGUUCCCAUAAGCUUGAUACCAGAAAAAUAGGGGAUGGACCGGGAUUUGGUACCCCGUUACUCCUAUUCGUUGAUUGGUUGCCGGGGCACUACGAACGUCUGUUUAAAACCCAAAGAACUUGGCGGUGAUGUAAGUCAGUCUAGGGGAGCAUGACUGUUAAUUCGAUGGUCCUCGAAAAUCUUACCUGCUUUUGUAAAUAUCAGCUUGUAUACCGUCGUUGUCAGUCUGCCUUGUGAAGGAUAGCAAAGCGGGCCCAAUCUAUGUAAAUCUAGAUGACUUCAGAUAAACGUGCAGCCUAUGAGCAGGCCUUGGUUUUGCUACAAUUCUUUUAGAAUACGGAAAUUACUAUGAAAAGGUGGUUGAAGGUGGACUUAGCUGCAAGGCUUCUAAGAGUGGCCUGAACUUGCGCAUGCAUCGCGUACAAAUCGCCCGUCGCUCGCGUAUAUAAUAAAAUGGGAUAAGUCGUAACAUAGUAGGGGUACCGGAAGGUGUUCCU
rnacentral:ncRNA from 1 species